rfam:Ipomoea nil DNA, scaffold: scaffold1720, cultivar: Tokyo-kokei standard.
GCUCUUGUAGCUCAGUUGGUUAGAGCACUCGUUUAGUAAGCGGGAGGUCUUGAGUUCGAUUCUCAACAAGAGCU